UGGGGAAUAUUGGACAAUGGGGGAAACCCUGAUCCAGCCAUGCCGCGUGUGUGAAGAAGGCCUUCGGGUUGUAAAGCACUUUAAGCGAGGAGGAAGGUUCGUUACUUAAUACGUAACGGAAUUGACGUUACUCGCAGAAUAAGCACCGGCUAACUCUGUGCCAGCAGCCGCGGUAAUACAGAGGGUGCAAGCGUUAAUCGGAAUUACUGGGCGUAAAGCGCGCGUAGGCGGUUGUGUAAGUUGGAUGUGAAAUCCCCGGGCUUAACCUGGGCACUGCAUUCAAAACUGCACGGCUAGAGUAUGGGAGAGGAAGGUAGAAUUCCAGGUGUAGCGGUGAAAUGCGUAGAGAUCUGGAGGAAUACCGAUGGCGAAGGCAGCCUUCUGGCCUAAUACUGACGCUGAGGUGCGAAAGCAUGGGGAGCAAACA
rnacentral:rRNA from 1 species